GAGUAUUAGUAGAUAUAAUCUUUAAACUUAAAGAAUUUGGCGGUAUUAUAGUCUAUUUAGAGGAAUCUGUUAUAUAAUCGAUAGUCCACGUUGAACCUUACUUAUAUAAAUUCUUGUAUACCGCUGUUUAAGAAUAUACUUUUAGGUAAAUUUUCGAGAUAUAAUAGUAAUUAAUAUUUCAAGUCAAGGUGCAGUUAUAUAUAAGUUGAAUAAUGGAUUACAAUAAAUUUUAUUUAUUAUGGAUUAGUUACUGGAUAAGUAAUUUGAAGGUGGAUUUAAUUGUAA
rnacentral:rRNA from 1 species